GAAUCUCUCUCCUCCCUAAUCUUCUUCCUAACCUGCCUUUGCGUUAGAAGUUGAUGAAAUUGUCUGUAAAAUAUAUUGAGCACUGCUAUUUGCAAUCAACAUAAUUGAAGUUGGAAUUUUCAAGGGAUAUUAUCAGAUAACAUCUAAAGAUCAUUUAACUUGUUUUAGGAGUUUGGUUUCUUUUUUCUGGUUUCUGAUGGAUUACACAUUUGAAUAAACUAGUGCAAUUUGUUUUUGUGCAGUUGAGUGUUCGAAUAUUGUUGGGCAACAUUUUAUGAAGACGUUAGCUUCAUGCAUAAUUAUGUUUUCUGUUCCAAGGUGUUGCCUAUUCAAGAUCGGAUCAUAGAAGUUUUACAAUUCUUGAUUCAAAGGAUUAAACACGGCUUAUUGUUAGGGUUUCGUCAUCAGUCUUCUGUAUCACUUAUUUUUUCUGGCUAUGGUCACAACACAAGACAUUAACGUU